rnacentral:lncRNA from 1 species
UGUAACGUAAUUUAGCCUCUCAAAAUAAAACGUUUAUUCAACGUGGAAUCAACUUAGGCAAAAAGCCACAUUAAAACCGUUUCGAAGUAUAUUCUUUAUCAACGUUAAAAACAAACCGCUUUUUAAACGUUACAUUUUCAACGUUGAAUAAGCGUAUAAAUUUAAACGUAUCUUAUCUUCUCAAAAAAAUGCAUUUAUUAAAUGUUGAAAAUAAGUACGCAAAUAAUCACUGAAAAAACGUCGCAAAGGUUGUGGUUUAUGUAGUAGUUUAUCACCUCCACCUGAUUUAUCACCUCUUCCCAUAAAAAACUCAAAACGAGAUUGCGCUUUUAUUUUAUAGCACUUAAAGGAAAGACAAGGUCAACAAUUCUAUAAAUAAAAUUUACUCGGUCUGUUGCGAUGUUCCAACUCCAUAUUUUGAAAGUUAUGAUCUUCAUAAAACGCAACGCAAACACUGGUGGAUGAAACAAAAAAGGAUUCAUGAUUAAAAUAAUAACUUAAGAACGUUACAUACUCCAUAAAAAACAGUUUGAUUUGUUGUGAAACGUGAUGCAUAGCCCACAAAAAAAGUUUUUGCAUGCGUUUGUAGUUGCUAUUGCGGUAAACCCACGUCUUUACAUAUAUAAUAAAAACUUUUCACUGUUUGAAAAAAAUCUGUUGUUAAGUUCGGUCAAUGAUGAUCAGCAUUGAAAAAAAAGAAAAGUAUUUCGAAAAUAUAUUUUAAUACUUAUCAGAAAACAUUUAUCCGGCUGGUUUUCAGAAAAACAAAAAACGAAGCCUUAGAGAUUUAUCUCGAAGUUACUCUGUGCAAGAUGGAAAGCUAAAACGGAAAGUCACGCUCUACGGAAACUCAUAUCUCGCGGAUGUAAUCUUUUGUAAACAAGAACAAGUAAAGAUAUUUUCAGAAGAACACGGAAGCCCUUUGGGAGGUCAUUGUGGUGAAACAAAGUCAAAGUCAAAAAUUAUGGAAAAAUACUUUUGGCCAAACAUGACAAAGGAUAUUGUAAAAUGGGUAAAGGAAUGCAAAUUAUGUCAAACAUCUGGUACACUUCUUAUAUCAGUAGAGCCGUUACGUUCAAUAAAGAACAUUACAGAUGCUCAAAACAAACAAAAGCUACGCUACGAUAAAAGAGUAUUAAAAUGUACAAAAAAGAGUCCAUUGGUUUCGAAGAUAAAGUAUUGUUACUUGACAUAAGAGGUCGACGUUCAAAAGGCACCGCAUUCAAGCCACGCUUUAAGGGACCGUUUACUGUAUCCCAUGUAACGCAAUGUGGGAACUUUAGGUUAAAAGACGACAACGGUGUGCAAAUAUCGGGGUUGCACAAAAAAAUACAUGUAAAAAAGUUCAUUGAAAGUAAUGUAAAAGAUGAUGUCAGUGUUAUAGAUUUGGCUAAUAACGAUAUUUCGAUCGACAGAACACAGAAGGUUGCUGAUUCAAAGGUACAAAGGGCAAAGAUAGCCAAAGGUUAGGGAACGAACAACAAAGUUUCAAAGGACGCAAAAUCCGAUGAAAAAUGUCGUGUUAUCGAAAACAGUGAAGGUAUAUCGACUAGAUUUGGAAUAAUUGAAUGCCUAAAACCAGUUAAAGCAAUAAUGGUUUUAUUUAAUUAAAUGGGAGACAGUAAAAUAUAUGACUACUCGCUGAAAGAAACUUUAACUGAUUGUCUAAGUGAUGAAAUAGUUUACAUUUAUCUGAGGUUACUUGCGAGCAAACAAGAUAAGAAUGCAAUUGAAGUACUAGCACCAGCUGAAUUGCUGUCGUUGGAAAAGUUACCAAAAAAAACUGCUCUGAUUCGAAGGAAACAUAUGGAUGAGUUAUUCAAACUAGAUAUAAUUAUGUGCUGUGUUGUUGCAAAAAAUCAUUGGACGCUAACAAUAAUCAAACCAGAGGAAAAAUGCUUGUAUUAUAUAAAUCCUACUGUGAACUAUUACCUACAUUACAAAAAGAAGAAAUAAAAUGGAAUAGCUAUUUGAAACAGAUAUAUGGAAUUUCAGAAACAUUUAAAAUACUGACAUUGCCACAUGCACUGCAAAAAGCUUUUCACGUGGAGUCUUUUGUCUUAAAUUUGCUGAAAACUUUAUAAAUGGCGAAGACCUGGUAAAGACCUUUUCAUUAGAAGAAGUAACCAUAUAUCGAAAUGUCAUGAUGCAUUUUCUUAUUAGCAGAUGAGGUCAAAAGAAUUGGAAAGAUGUUCUAUGUCGCCUAUGCGAAAAAAAAAAAAAGGACCAAAAACACAUAAAAAACAAAUAUUAGACUAAUGGAUUAAGUGUGAUAAAUGCUUACCAAGUCGAUGGUAUCAUAUGGACUGUAUUCCAAAUGUUCUAGAUAGCAGCAAUUUAUUUACUUGCGCAAACAUUUCUCCUUAAAACAAACAAGUAGUAAAUGUUGAAAUAAAGUUGCAUAACUAUAACAUCUUUAAUAUAAAAACGGUUUUUAAAUUGAUUUUAAUAGUAACUUAGACAGCAUUAUUUUAAUAUUUUAUCAUAAAAUAUUCUAAUUUCUUAUUUGAUUCUGGUAAAUCCAAAAUUCUUUUAUCGAUAUUUUAGAUUUUUGUAUUGCAGUUAAAAGAAACAAAGAAGAAUUUGUAAAAAAGU